UCAUGUUGUUAUCCUAUGGCGACUAUUAAGUAAAUUUUUGAAUAUGAUAAUAUAUAUUUUCUUGAUGGGAAACAUAAAUUUAGUUUGUUAUACGUAUUUCUGUGCCAACAUAAGAAUCCGUAAAGGAUGUAGAAAUUGUCAACUUUGUGUGUAACUUUGUUAGUACUUAAUACUGUUAUAUUCCCCUAAAGGUUGCUACACCUGGACGCCUUAUGGAUCAUGUAUCCAACACAAAAUGAUUUUCUCUUCGCACGUUGGAUUAUUUGUUAGAAGUAAUAAUGAAAUCUGAAGAUAUGUGUUUGGAGUCCGCUAAGGAGUUCUCCCGUGUUUGAUAAGGUCAAGAAGCUGCAAAGGGAGUCUUAACUCUUAAGGAACCCUGUG